GACGAACGCUGGCGGCGUGCCUAACACAUGCAAGUCGAACGAGGUCCAUCCGGUGGCAACACCGGUGAAGACCUAGUGGCGAACGGGUGAGUAACACGUGAGGAACCUGCCCCGAAGACCGGGAUAACCCUACGGAAGGAGAGCUACUACCGGAUACCCCCACCUGGCCGCAUGACCGGGCGAGGAACUGGAUUCCGCUUCGGGAGGGCCUCGCGGCCUAUCAGCUUGUUGGUGGGGUAACGGCCCACCAAGGCAUCGACGGGUAGCUGGCCUGAGAGGACGAUCAGCCACACUGGGACUGAGACACGGCCCAGACUCCUACGGGAGGCAGCAGUGGGGAAUCUUGCGCAAUGGGCGAAACCCUGAUCUAGCCAUGCCGCGUGAUCGAUGAAGGCCUUAGGGUUGUAAAGAUCUUUCAGUGGGGAAGAUAAUGACUGUACCCACAGAAGAAGCCCCGGCUAACUCCGUGCCAGCCGCCGCAGUAACAC
rnacentral:rRNA from 1 species